GAAAAAUGGGUCUCCAUUAGAGAUUGCCAGGCUAUUUAGUCACAGUGAUAUGGUUGAGAUGAUGGAAGAAGCCAUAAGAUUGAGAUCUCAUCCUUAUGUGAAUAGAGAUGUGUCUAUCAUGAGACAUCAAGACCAACAGACAAUUGCUGAACUGCAGAGUGAAGUGGAGAAGAUGAAAGAAGAAUUAAGACAAUCAUCCCUGGU